CUUCCUGUCCUUCACACUUCCGUCUUUACUUCUCAGCUCCGCUCCCUGCGCCACGCUCAGCUCACACUCCCAGGCGAACUGCCCCGGCAGCCAUUCUCUGCAGGCGGGAGACGGCGGGGAGCGGUCCUGCAGCGGCGAGUCGGGCCCGGGACAGGCGCCGCGGCCCUGGGGCCGGAGCGGGGCCGCUCCGAGCCAGCGGAGGCAGCUGGAGCCGCGGCCCGGGGAGCGGGGCCGCCGCAGCCCCACAGCCCCGGGGCCGCCCCUCAGGGCCCCGCGCGGAAUGGCGGCAGCGGCGGGAAGGAGCCCGCGGGCGGCGGGCAGCUCCGCCUCCCUGCCGUGCCACACGCGGCAGCUGGCCUCAGGAGCACCGCCGGUGGUGUGGGGACACUGGUCCCACAGCUGGGGACGAGCCGCCGAGCAGCACAAUGCCGCGGAAUGCAUUAAGGGAGAGAGUGCGUGUAUGAGCGAGUUAAGGAGCAAAGAAGGGCAGAGUUCAUCGGUGCCUCCCCUCGGAGAGGAACGGAGGGCCCGAGAUGGCACCCAGACGCAAGGCCGAGGCACCUGACCGGCCUGCCUGGGUUCUGGGUAGGAGAUGUCACCGAGAGACCCUCUAGCCUGGUACGGCCCUCUGCUGAUCAUGUGCUGCAGCCUUCAAGGUGGGCAUCGACGUGUGCUUGAUUCCAGAGGAUGGCAUUGGCUGAGUUUAUGCAGCCGGGCAGCUGGAGACUGCUUAUGAGCCUUGGAGACAUGCCAGAGGUGGAAAGCUGUCAGUGCCUCUGUGCUUGUGGCUGUAAACCCCCCAGGGUUUAACUGGUGCUUCCUGGCCAAUUGUACCAAAGGUAAGGAUUAUGACAAGGUCCCUGGAGGAUUCCCUGAAGGAUUCCCUGAAGGAUUUCCUGAAGUUCCAGAAGACCUCCUGACAGCCUGGGAUGAAGCUUCAUCUGAGAGAGAUGAUGAAAACCCUGAUGUGCUGGAAACCAUUCCUAUGGAAGAAAGUGACAGUGUGCCGGGCUCAGAUACAAAAAUAGAACCAAUACAGGAUACCAACCCACUUAUUGAGCCUCAGGAGUUUUCAGGUGAGUGCCUGGGAGAUGCUGUCUUGGGAAAAGAGAAGAGUUUCAGCUGUAUCUCUGCAGGUCGCUCCAUAGAUGAAUUGCAGGUGCUCAGCACACAGCCCUGGCCUGCAGCUUAGAGGAGCAGACAGGAGCAGUGCUGUUCCCUGGCACACACUGCGUUCUUCUCCAUGGGAACAUUAGGAGAUCCCUCUUGGUCCCUGGUGCUAAAACGCCAGAGCCAGAGGGACCAAUCUCUGAAGACAACAAUCCUUGGGCACCUGAAGUGCACUGUGAGAUUAUCCCUAGUGCAGAGUACAAACAUCGUCUCUUGCAUUGUCUCGCACAUUGUCUUUUCUCCUGCCAGGUUCAGCUGCUGGGCAAAAAGCUGAGACUGCUGGACACUGUGACCCGAGCAAGUACUACAUCCUAGGGACAGUAGCAGCCUCGGCUUUGCUUCUGCUUGGGGCAGUGUGUGGGUAUAUUGUCAUGUAUCAGCUGCUGAAGAGAGACAGGAGGACGCAGGAAGACAAAGAAGCACUAGGACAAGACUACACUGGUUCUUCCUGGGAAAGGCGUGGUCAUCCUAGAGGUAAAGGUGAAGCAGAGUCAGGAGGAGGACCAGGAAGGGAUGAGACAGCCCAAGGCAACAGGUUCCGGGACAGCUGCCGCCUGUUUCCUGAGGUCUUUGCAGCAGAGCUUGCCCAGCGGUACAAGAACAUGGGCGCAGACCCCUCACCUCUGCCCACGUGUCCCUUCUGUGAUCUGGCUGAUGGUGCCUCUUCACAGGACCACUGGAUUUCCCUGGACUCACCUCAGCCCACACCAUUCUCAUGCUCCUGCUGCCAGUACCAGCAGGAAUAUUUUAUAUUAGAGGAAAACGAUUAUUUUAGUGAUAGCAUGUAAAUAAAUAUAUUUCUAAAAGCAGUAA